rnacentral:pre_miRNA from 1 species
AGUGGAACUGCUGUACAAUAUGGUAAUUUUUAAUUUUUAAGGAGUUACCAAACUCUUUUCCAAAGUGGUUGCAUUGGUUUACAUUCUCACCAGUAAU